rnacentral:rRNA from 1 species
AGUGAACGCUGGCGGUAGGCCUAACACAUGCAAGUCGAACGGCAGCACAGUAAGAGCUUGCUCUUACGGGUGGCGAGUGGCGGACGGGUGAGGAAUACAUCGGAAUCUACUUUUUCGUGGGGGAUAACGUAGGGAAACUUACGCUAAUACCGCAUACGACCUACGGGUGAAAGCAGGGGAUCUUCGGACCUUGCGCGAUUGAAUGAGCCGAUGUCGGAUUAGCUAGUUGGCGGGGUAAAGGCCCACCAAGGCGACGAUCCGUAGCUGGUCUGAGAGGAUGAUCCGCCACACUGGAAACGAGACACGGUCCAGACUCCUACGGGAGGCAGCAGUGGGGAAUAUUGGACAAUGGGCGCAAGCCUGAUCCAGCCAUACCGCGUGGGUGAAGAAGGCCUUCGGGUUGUAAAGCCCUUUUGUUGGGAAAGAAAAGCAGCAGGUUAAUACCCCGCUGUUCUGACGGUACCCAAAGAAUAAGCACCGGCUAACUUCGUG